UUCUGAUUAUAGAAACUUUUUGAAAAUGGGUCAAAUUUGACCCGAGGACACCAGGAGGUUAAACACGUUCCACAAAUAUCAGAUCUGCAAAUUCACAAACAAGUUCCACAGAUAAAUAUCUCCAAGUACAUCACACAAACUUACAAAUAAACAAAGUAUUUCAACAAUGGCAAGCUGUAUAAUUUGUAAAAAGGCUGUAAGAUACAGUGGUAACAACAAAUGUAUGAUUCAAUUUAUGUUGUAUACAAGCAUAAGAAAAUUCUGUCCUUGGUUUUAACUUAUUAAUAAUCCAAAUGUAAAAUCACAGAAACGCUUAGGCUAAAGGUCAUGAAAAUUCACCCUCCUUAAUUAUUAAAAAGUAUCGGUAUCGACGAUAUUGGCCCUGUUUUUACUUCGAUACCAAAUAUUGCAGUAUCACACACCACUAAUAUAGACUAAGAACUAUCAAAUACUACUCGAGGUACAUGGAUUUUAGGUCCUUACUAAACUAAAAGUGAUUCUAUGAUACUUAAAAGGAACAUUUGGAAAAACCAACAAGCAUCAAGUUCACAUCAUGACUUUAACAGCCACUACUGUCCACUCACUGUGAAAAUACUGUUAAUAACAGAAAUAGCCUAAUAGUCAUUACUUUAAGUGAUUGACAUCUCUUCUCACAUGGACCAACAAGACACUAUUUUGUCCAAAACCUUUUCCAUGUUUUGCAAGAAAAUCACUUUUCACCUGUGUGUUCUCGUGCUUUUUUAAAACCGAAGAGACACAGAAUCUUUGACAACACACAGCUAACAUAGCUCUUGCAGACGUACGGCUUCUCACCUGUGUGGGCUCUUCUCAUGUGAGCCGACAAGCCACUACUACUCCCAAACCCUUUUCCACAUGUUUUGCAGGAAUAUGGCUUCUCACCUAUGUGAGUUCUCAUAUGCCUUAUUAAUGCUUAAGCGUCACAGAAUCUUUUCCCACUUCCUAACAUUUGCAACUUUCAAACAGACUUUUGUGAAUCCAGUUUUUAUCUGUGAAUCGACUUUACGUGUUCAUUUGAAAGUUGCAAAGAAAGAUGUUAAAUCAUUUUCACGUAUUUGUGACUGUGUGUAAUGUACUGUAGAUAUAUUGUUGUAUUUGUGGAACGUAUUUUAUAUUUAGAGACCACACAUUUACACACAGAUGUUGAAUGUUCAUAUAAACUCACUGAGACAUAUUCCAUCCCAUAGUUUCCUCUCAUGUACGAGUGAUGUACUAGAGUCCACUGACACCGUGUGGUAUAGAAAGUAUAAAGUAUUUACAUAUAUUAUGAUUCGUAUGAGAUGUAUAUAUAUAUAUAUAUCUAUAUUUCCUCCCCUUUUGAUUUAAACUGUGUGGAAUCAGAUUAUUGGGCCCCAGAGCGUGACACGGAGCUGUAUGACAGCGUUAUGUUUUCAUCUUCUUCACCUUCGUAAUCACUGAGAAACGUCUCUGCUGCUCGUAGAGAUCACGGAGGAGAGUUGAGGGUCCCUCUUUGUAUUUGGGAAUGUUAACUUUUUAUUUUGGUAAUUAAAGAUUUUAAUUAAA